rnacentral:rRNA from 1 species
UACGUAGGGGCAAGCGUUGUCCGGAUUUAUUGGGCGUAAAGAGCGUGUAGGCGGCCAAGUAAGUCUGGCUGUGAAAACUCGAGGCUUAACCUCGAGCUGUCGGCGGAAACUAUUUGGCUAGAGUCCGGAAGAGGAGAAUGGAAUUCCCGGUGUAGCGGUGAAAUGCGCAGAUAUCGGGAAGAACACCCGUGGCGAAGGCGGUUCUCUGGGACGGUACUGACGCUGAGACGCGAAAGCGUGGGGAGCGAACAGG